AAGUCGCGAAUAAUGUCACGUAGUUUCCCCGACAAAGGGUUGAUGGAAACAGACCAAUGGUCAAAUUAUCUGUCAUUAAUUUUGAGCUGUCAUUUGAGUCUGUCAAACGAGUCGGACUGUUUAGUUUACACCGAACUUUACAAGAACAAUUAAAGUUUAUUACGAAUUUCAUAAGCUGUAAGCAGUCAGAUUGAAUGUUUAAGUCACACAAAAAGUACCUUGGUGAGAAACCGAUCAUUCAGUGCUAUUGAAAAUAUCAGGUGGAAACAUGUCAUAUGCAGUAAUAAUAAUGCAGAAAAACGUGCAGAUUCUACGCCUAUGCACCGUUCUGACCACAAACUCGAGACUGAAGCAAAAACAAAUCCUACUAAGACCAGCCCAGGUUGCCCAGGCAGGUGCUUGAUAGAAGCUACCAUCUGUCCUUAAAGGAAGCCAAUCAGAUGCACUGAUUUUUUCAUAAUCCCCUGCAUUUCAUACAAUGGGCGGAAAUUGAAAAAUCUUCGCUCAAUUUUUGUUAAAAGCCAUUAAAGUGAUUAAUCAAUUACUUAAUUGUAAUGUGGGCAGGAAGCAAAGCGUCUGCAUCGCAAGAGUUGCAACUUCCCCAACACCAGCUAGUUUGUCAGCAUUUGCGCUUUCUCGAAAAAACAAAGCCAGUAUAAACUCUGGAAAUAUCCAGGACAAGGGGAUAAAAAUAAUUCAGCCUCCUGUAGCCAGAAAUAUUGAUAGAGGUUGGGAAAAUGGAAAAGAUCUGCGUGUAGGAUGAUGAAGAUCGGAUGGGAAACGUAGAUAUUAAAAUAACCCUUGGAUAAUUAAUAGUAAAAAUCGAAUUUUACAUACCCCGAUAACAAGUGACGAUAGAUCCCAAGUUAAAAAUCA